ensembl:rRNA 5S_rRNA 5S ribosomal RNA
GUUUGUGGCCAAACCGCCUUUGCUAUGCCUGAUCCCGUCAGACCUUGGAAGCUAAGCAGGGAAGGGCCUGGUCAGUACUUGGAUGGGAGACCGUUUGGGAACAUCAGGAAGCCUGGCAAAUG